CAGAUGAGAAGAUGGAGGUUCAAAGUAUUGAAGAGAAAUGGCCAUUGUCACAAACCUGAAGAAGAGCUCCGCUGUUAACUCCACCCCAAUCCUCUUUGAUGGCAGGUGAGUGAACUUCUGUUGUUCCUUGAGCAGCCCCCUAGGGAGCCUCAGCAGUGUCUUGGAAAUCUCCCACCCCAAGCAGCUUCCUGAGAUGUUCUGACGCAGCAUGGGCAAACAGAGGGUGCUUAGUCAAUGCUGAUGGAGAAGCACGCAGAUGACAGAAAGAUGACAAUGCUGGGUCACCCUCUCACCGUCUGCUUCGUGUGGUCCAUGGAGGCACCUUAAUGACCACCA